GGGGAAUAUUGGCCAUUGGCCCCAUCCUUACCCCGCCACGCCGGGUGAGGGAAGGAGGUUUUCGGAAUGGUAACCUCUGUCGCCGAUUACCGAGGGAAUGUCGGUAAUCCGUGGAGAAGCCCCGGCCAACUACGUGGCAGCAGCCGCGGUAAUACGUAGGGGGCGAGCGUUUUCCGGAAUUACUGGGUGUAAAGGGAGCGUAGGCGGUCGAUUAAGUUGGAUGUGAAAUACCCGGGCUUAACUUGGGGGGUGCAUCCAAUACUGGUUGACUAGAGUACAGGAGAGGAAAGCGGAAUUCCUAGUGUAGCGGUGAAAUGCAUAGAUAUUAGGAGGAACAUCGGUGGCGAAGGCGGCUUUCUGGACUGACACUGACGCUGAGGCUCGAAAGCGUGGGGAGCAAACA
rnacentral:rRNA from 1 species